rnacentral:snoRNA from 1 species
AGCACUUGUUUGUGUUUUUGUUUAACUUGUGGACAAAGACUUAUAGGCAGAUGCAAAAACACAUCCACAACUCAGAACUCAUUGCUCAGUAUGGUUUUUGAUACAUAUAAGAUGGAAUG